GACGAACGCUGGCGGCGUGCCUAAUACAUGCAAGUUGAGCGCUGAAGGUUGGUACUUGUACCAACUGGAUGAGCAGCGCACGGGUGAGUAACGCGUGGGGAAUCUGCCUUUGAGCGGGGGACAACAUUUGGAAACGAAUGCUAAUACCGCAUAAAAACUUUAAACACAAGUUUUAAGUUUGAAAGAUGCAAUUGCAUCACUCAAAGAUGAUCCCGCGUUGUAUUAGCUAGUUGGUGAGGUAAAGGCUCACCAAGGCGAUGAUACAUAGCCGACCUGAGAGGGGGGUCGGCCACAUUGGGACGGAGACACGGCCCAAACUCCUACGGGAGGCAGCAGUAGGGAAUCUUCGGCAAUGGACGAAAGUCUGAACGAGCAACGCCGCGUGAGUGAAGAAGGUUUUCGGAUCGUAAAACUCUGUUGGUAGAGAAGAACGUUGGUGAGAGUGGAAAGCUCAUCAAGUGACGGUAACUACCCAGAAAGGGACGGCUAACUACGUG
rnacentral:rRNA from 1 species